UUACGGCCAUAUCACGUGGAAACACCGGUUCCCGUACGAUCACCGAAGUUAAAAAAAACGUCGAGCUUAGUCAGUGCCUAGAUGGGUGACCGCUUGGGAAUACCA